UAGAUUCUAAAAUGAAAAGAUAAAGAAUUUGAUUAACAAACCAAUUGAAUUUUUUUCUUUACUAAAUUUCAUUUUUUGAUAAAUCAUGUAGUAUUUGAAUUGAAUUUUAAUUUGAGCUCAAAUACUUUCCUUUUCCCCCUUCAAAAGAGAGAUGAAAGUACAAUAUGUCAAUGCCCAAAUGAAGCAGUUUAGAAGAAUAUGCAUGUGUUUUACUUGUAAGUAAUAAAAUAGAGAGAAAAAGCAUCAAUUGAAUAAGUAGAGGUGUAGCAGACGUAGCAAAAUAACAUCAAUUGCUAUAAGAAUAUACUGUACAGAAUACAUCGAUGUUUCUAGCUAGCUAGCAUUUAUAGUUGUUAUAUUUGGCUCUCAAUCUUAUGAUGAUCAGUAUCUCACAGGCAAAGCAACGCUAAACAAUAACAUCAUUGCCGACACACACUUCUCAACUUUUGUUUUAUUCUGCACUUUUUCGUACGUAGCAUUUAAUUAGCAACCAAACCCCAUCCUC
rnacentral:lncRNA from 1 species